rnacentral:lncRNA from 12 species
GAGCGUGUGUGAUGAAAGCAAAAUUAAUGACAGAGGCAGGCACAACCAAGCCUAACUGCCAAAAUUCAAGAAUCCUAGUGAAGGGCCAUGCACACUCUGGCUUUCUUAUCACCUCAUCUUUGAAGAGAAAGAAACACUGCUGAGAGCUCAUUUCUUCUGCCUCUAGCCAGUUACUGAAAACGGUAAAAUGGAAGAGUGGCAGAGCCAGAAAAAGAAGCCGCCUUGACUCUGCCAAGCUAGUGCUCCUGCUGCCAAUCGCAACUCUUUGUGUGUAGACAGUCUGUGCAGCAGACUAGGACCCGCUUCAAGUACCGCAUCUGCCUGGGGCUCUUUCCCAGUAUAGUUUACUGCUCUCCAUCCUACCCUGAAGGAUAUCACCUCCCUGAUUCCUUCCCAAGCCUCCAUGACAGCUUCCUGUCAAGUGACUCUCCCCCACAAGUCUUUUCUGACAAAUCUCAGAGAUGCAACAGCUGGUCACCCUUCAAGACUUGCACAUGUCUCUGUUGCCACCAUGGAGACAUGGAGAGAUUAUGGCUUCUUUUUGGGGAUCAAAGGAAAAUGAGAAGAAGAACUCAGCUAUACACCUGGAUCAACUCUUGA